UGGGGAAUUUUGGACAAUGGGCGAAAGCCUGAUCCAGCAAUGCCGCGUGUGUGAAGAAGGCCUUCGGGUUGUAAAGCACUUUUGUCCGGAAAGAAAUCCUUGGCUCUAAUACAGUCGGGGGAUGACGGUACCGGAAGAAUAAGCACCGGCUAACUACGUGCCAGCAGCCGCGGUAAUACGUAGGGUGCAAGCGUUAAUCGGAAUUACUGGGCGUAAAGCGUGCGCAGGCGGUUUGCUAAGACCGAUGUGAAAUCCCCGGGCUCAACCUGGGAACUGCAUUGGUGACUGGCAGGCUAGAGUAUGGCAGAGGGGGGUAGAAUUCCACGUNUGAGCAGUGAAAUGCGUAGAGAUGUGGAGGAAUACCGAUGGCGAAGGCAGCCCCCUGGGCCAAAUACUGACGCUCAUGCACGAAAGCGUGGGGAGCAAACAGGAUUAGAUACCCUGGUAGUCCACGCCCUAAACGAUGUCAACUAGUUGUUGGGGAUUCAUUUCCUUAGUAACGUAGCUAACGCGUGAAGUUGACCGCCUGGGGAGUACGGUCGC
rnacentral:rRNA from 1 species